GGGAGCGCGCCCGGCGCGCCCCCCGCGCGCCGCGCCCCGCCCCUCCGCGCGCCCGCCCCGCCGGGUCCAGCACCGCGGACAGCGGCCUCGCUCCGGGAGACCCCCCGUGCACUCACUCGUUUAUUUAUUCAUUUAUUCAUUCAUUUAUUUACUUCAGGAUGCAGCCACCUCACAAGCGCACCUGAAGAGCAAAUUUUGUUUUGUUUAGUUUUGUUUUGUUUCAGCUGCUGUACCCAAACCACAGACGUUAAUAUGCAGGAAGAGUUAAAGCCGUUCUGAUACUUCAUUUCCAUGCAUAAUGGGGAUUUUUUUUUCUUUUCUUUUUUUUUUUUCCCUUUCCAAGAUGGGUUCCAGCUGUAUUAGCUAGACAUGCUAUUUACUGCAAGCUAAAUUUAACAUUUCUCAGUUUGGCACGAAGUCUGUUGCUGUGCACCACACAGACACACACACAUUUUAUAGAAGAAAAGGCAGUGCAGCAUUCCUGUGACCAUGACAAUGAAUUUGCUACUAAGUAAUGAUUUUCUGGCAUAUUUUUUAUUAACUUAUAUUUAGUUAACAAUGCUGGGAAAUAUCCACAUAGGAAAGGAUACUGAUCUUGCAAUUAAUUACCUUUCCUAUUUUUUUUUCCUUUUUAUUUUUAUUACUAUUAUUAAUUUUUUCUUCAUUCUCUUUUCCAGGAGGAGGGUGUCAAAGCUUCAGGUAUUCAGAUGUCAAUACGAGUACAUAUCCUGAACACAUAGGAAGUUGAAUUGUGAGCAUUUACAUAUGUGAAUGUACUACUCCAAAUUUGUAUCAUCACAUCAGAACAUGUAGGAAAAAAGAGUCAGACUAUGUGGCCAUAUUCCACUGUUGGUGUGACAGGGAAAAAUAGAAGAUUUCAACUGAUAUGAGUAAGUAAAAAAGGACAGCAUGGGCGAGUCAAUCACCAAGGAAACAGUUCAAUCAGAAUUUAGUAAUAGUGAAAAGUGUCGAUAAUAAAAAAAGUCUUCUUCAACUCUCUAUUUUUUAUAACAAUCCUAUGCUAAUUGAAAAGAUGCAAUUGGGCAAAGGAGAAAAAAGAAAUUUAUAGGUGAUAGUAAUUUAUGACCAUGUACUAAGAAUAGAUAUGCUCAUUAUCACUGUGCAUGAGAAAAUCAGACUACAUUACUGGGAACCACAUUCAAUACUUUUUUCUCAAGGGAAAAGAAUCUUGCAAGACGUAAGUAAAGAUUCUGUUCUUAAAAACAGAAGAUUAUAUUCUUAUAUGCAUUCUUCUGAAUCUAUGAAAGGAGCUCAUAUAAAAAUGCAUUAAUUCAGAAUGUGAACAAAGCAUCAGUGGGGAGACUUUUAAUAAUAAGCAUCCAUCACUUGUUGAAAGGAACAUAGCAGUGCAAUAAUAAUGAAAACAAUGGCAGAUGACAGAAGUCCAGAUAUCAAAUAAUAAGAUGUCAGACCCCUGAAAAGCCGAAGUGCUUAAUCUUGAUUCCAUAGAACUCCAAGAGAGGUUUGCUACUUACUGCAAAGAAUCAUGGCUAUACUUGAUUUAACAAUUUAAUAUUGUCUAAUGGAUAUUCUGAAUGUAAGGUAGAAGUUGGUGAGAAAGUUGAAAAGAGCUGAUAUAUGUGCUAAUCAGAAGUAUAAUUUAUCAGGAAUACAUUUCCUCUGCAAUUCAUUCUGGCACAAUCCUGGUUGAGACAGUGGCUGCAGCUCAACUAAAUGUUCAUAUGUUUCAUCAGUUGAAUACAAGAUGCAGAAAGAAACUUGGAAAAGACUGAAGAACUGAAAAAUUUUGCCUUGUGCUCAGAAACAUUUAGCGAUCACUCCAUAUACUUUCCAAAAAAUAGUUCAGGAAUGGCUUGAUGACAUGGAUACAUGCUUCAGGAAAGCCACUUAGACAAUAUAAAAUGCUUGAGGAGAUGGAUGGAGUAAAAAACUGAGUUGUUCAAUGCUGACAUUGAUCACAUUCCAAUUAGAAAUAAAAUUUAUCUUUUGUUUUGCUGUUUUAAUAAUGUGUCAUUGACCUUGCAGCCACAUGCUGAGCAGUUUAAUGAAAACAGUCAAAAUCAGGUUCUUCUAAAAAUCCUAGCUGAAAAAAGUUAAAUUCUGAGAAAGUCCUUGGCAAGAGCUCAGACUAAAUAGUUAUAGUAGGCUUUCUGGAUUUUUAUCAUAUAAAUUUUUGGGGUUUAUAUUCACAACUAUUUUCUAUAUCUUCUUCUUUAUCAAAAAAUCUUAAAAUGUGCAGAUUCAUUAGGAUGCAAAAAUGAUGUACCAACAUAUGAAUCCUUUGAUUCCAUGGGUUAUCAAUAAAUACUUCCCUUCAAUAAAGAUUAUUGUCUUUGGAUUUUUGAGAUCUGCAGAACUUUUUCAAAUACCAGUAGGCGUAAAUGAAGAGGAAACACAAAUGAAGGUUCCAAAUCUAUUUUGAAGUGUGCAGUCCCAUAUGUUCACUCUGGAUCUCCAGAGUCUUUUUAAAAAUAAAAAGUAUGUCCUGAUCUUU